AUGGAGCGGGUGCUGACCGCGCUGAUGGACCUGGUGGUGCCGCCGGCGAGCAUGGUGAUGCUGGCCUUCGCCUGGCCCACGCUCUCCUUCCUGCGCGCCCUCGAGUGGGCCAUGAAGGCGCUCACGAAGGAGGACAUGCGCGGCAAGGUCGUCCUCGUCACCGGCGCCUCCUCCGCCAUCGGCGAGCAAGUGGCAUACGAGUACGCGCGGCGGGGCGCGAACCUGGUGCUGGUGGCGCGGAGGGAGCACCGGCUGUUCGCGGUCCGCGAGAACGCGCGCGCCCUGGGCGCCGGCCACGUGCUCGUCGUCGCCGCCGACGUCGUCCGCGAGGACGACUGCGGCCGCCUCGUCGCCGACACCAUCGGCUACUUCGGCCAGCUGGAUCAUCUGGUGAACACGGUGAGCCUGGGCCACGACUUCCUCUUCGAGGAGGCCGGCGACACGGCGGCGUUCCCUCACCUCAUGGACAUCAACUUCUGGGGGAACGUGUACCCGACGCACGCCGCGCUGCCGUACCUGCGCCAGAGCCACGGCCGCGUCGUCGUCAACGCCUCCGUCGACACCUGGCUGCCCAUGCCCCGGAUGAGCCUCUACUCCGCGGCGAAGGCGGCGGUGAUCGACUUCUACGAGACGCUGCGGUACGAGGUGAAGGACGAGGUGGGGAUCACGGUCGCCACGCACGGCUGGGUCGGCGGCGAGCCCGGCGCCGGCACCGGCAUCGGCACCAGCAGGUUCGCGCUCGAGGAAGGCGCGGGGGUGGCGGACCAGACGCAGACGCAGGCGCAGGCGCAGCAGUGGACCAAGGCGGACACGGCGCCGCCGCUGCCGGCGCCGGGAGGGCAGGCGGUGGAGGCGUACGCGCGGGCGGUGGCGGACGGCGCGUGCCGCGGGGACGCGCGGGUGCGGCGGCCGGGCUGGUACGACGUGUUCCACGUCUUCCGCGCCUUCGCGCCCGACGUGCUCGGCUGGACCUUCCGCCUGCUGCUGUCGACCGCGCCCGCUCCGCCGACGGUGGCCGGCAGCGGGCGCCGUGCGCUCGUCGUUGCCCCUGUGGGCGCGCCGGCCGCCGCGCUGCCGGCCCCGCCCGUCCGCCCGCUGAUCGAGUACCCGGCCGCGGCGGCUGGUCGGAGGCCCGCGGCGGCGCAGCUGCACAAGCUAGAGUGA
rnacentral:rRNA from 1 species